ensembl:snRNA U6 U6 spliceosomal RNA
GUGCUUGCUUGGGCAGCACAUAUAUUAAAAUUGGAAUGAUACAGAGAAGAUUAGCAUGGCCCCUCACAAGGAUUACAUACACAUUCGUUAAUUUUUCAAUAUUUUC